AUUGCAGUUCUCCCCAGUUGGUUCUUCAUAGCAUCCAUGUUUCUGCUCAGAUGUCACCUCCUCCAAGAAGUCUUCCUGAGCACCCCAUCUGAUUCUACAUGUGCUGCAAUCAGACCUCUCAAAUGCAGAUGGUUACUGCUGGAAGGAAUGAUGGUAAACUUUGAAGAAAAGAAAAUGAAAGGUCUGCUUAACCAUUUUGGCUUGUCUGUCCAACCCCACAGUUUAAACUACAGGCCUACAGGUUUGCUCUUCAUAAUCUUUUUGUGCUACUUUUCUUCCAAUACAUUUAAGAUCCCAUGAAAUCCCUUUACCAGGAACUAAAGAGGCAGAGAAUAUACAGAAUCCUGUUUCACUUAUGCUGAAGUUCUGUCCACUAGAAUUUUCCAGAUCUCAUUGUUUUCAAUGGGUGCUUGUUAUAUCUUUAGCCUCUUGAUUAUAUCUUCGGCCUCCAAUUGGUUCUAAGUGAAGGUAGGCUGUGGGUAAGGUUUGCCAUGUAACUGCUGACUUCACAUUUAAAGUCUUUCAGGGAGAUCGGAUCUUCACAGGCCCUUGCUUUCUCAUAGAAGAUGUUCCUAUCAAAUUCAAAUACCACUGAUGUAUAUGCUGUUCAUUCUAAGGAAGUUACAAGGGAAAAGGAACUCUUUCACCCAUCCUCUGCCUGGAUCCAUAUUCUGGAGAGGCUUUUUGACUUCUCAGACCUUUUAAAAGUAACUUUGGUUAUGAGAAACUGAGGGAAAUUAUUAUUGAUUUUUCUUGAAGAAGAUGAUUGAGGGGAAAAUGGGUAGUCACUAUUCUUUCUGGACUCAGUUUGAUAUAAAAAGUUUCCUUUUCAGUGUUCCCAAAACUUUGGUCCUUAAACUGUUAGAUUAAAAUCACUUGUAGCACUUGUUAAAUGUGCAGAUUGCUGAACUUCUCCUUGGAUCUGAAGAGUCAGCUCCUAUGGUUUUGGGACCCAAGGAUCUGAUUAUUAGGUAUCGAGAUGAUUCUUAUUAUGUGGUCAAAUUUGAAGCCAUACUGUUUUGGAUACUUUUUGUAUUUCAAUAAUUGAUUAUAUUUUUUGCAGGUGUGUGAUUCAUCAGAAAACAGUGAGUGAUAGGGAUAGAUUAUCCCUUGGGGACCCCAACAGUGUUUAGUUGUUUAAAUCAUUUGGAUGCUAGUGUCUCAAAGGUUGCUGAAUUACAUUCUUGUGGGCUUUUUGGCACCCACCCUUUUGUUCCAUUGAAGAACGUAACUCAUUGUGUUUCAAAAAAUUCUUGAGAAGGGAUUUGGCCUUAACCUCAUGAAAACUCUUCAUUCCCAGAGAUUCUUUCCUGCUUAGUUUCUAAAAUAUUUUAGAUAAAUGUUAAAGAUGAUCAGAAUUACUGUAUAACAUUUGUGAAGCUCAGGCAUGACACCAUGGCUUUAGUCAGAAUGACAUGCAGGAUUAUGUCCCUAAAGAAAUCCAUCUGAAGUGAAGGAGAGCUGGGGCAAGGUAGGAUAUAUCUUUGAGGUCCUGACAGAGCCAUUUAAGACUGGGCUCUGGAAGCUUUAGGCUGGGGCAAGUUUUGCCAAGUAUAGAUAAAGCAUAUUGUUUAAAGAGUC
rnacentral:lncRNA from 1 species